rnacentral:rRNA from 1 species
AGUGAACGCUGGCGGUAGGCCUAACACAUGCAAGUCGAACGGCAGCACAGUACGAGCAUGCUCUUCCGGGUGGCGAGUGGCGGACGGGUGAGGAAUACAUCGGCAUCUACUUUUUCGUGGGGGAUAACGUCGGGAACCUUACGCUAAUACCGCAUACGAUCUACGGGUGAAAGCAGGAGAUCUUCGGACCUUGCGCGAUCGCAUGAGCUGAUGUCGGAUUAGCUAGUUGGCGGGGUAAAGGCCCACCAAGGCGACGAUCCGUAGCUGGUCUGAGAGGCUGAACAGCCACACUGGAACUGAGACACGGUCCAGACUCCUACGGGAGGCAGCAGUGGGGAAUAUUGGACAAUGGGCGCAAGCCUGAUCCAGCCAUACCGCGUGGGUGAAGAAGGGCUUCGGGUUGGAAAGCCCUUUUGUUGGGAAAGAAAAGCAGCAGGUGAAUACCCCGCUGUUCUGACGGUACCCAAAGAAUAAGCACCGGCUAACUUCGUG